rnacentral:rRNA from 1 species
UACGGAGGGUGCAAGCGUUGUCCGGAAUUACUGGGCGUAAAGCGCACGUAGGUGGUUUGUUAAGCUAGCUGUGAAAUCCCCGGGCUCAACCUGGGCACUGCAGUUAGAACUGGCAAGCUAGAGUAGGGUAGAGGGGUGUGGAAUUCCAGGUGUAGCGGUGAAAUGCGUAGAUAUCUGGAGGAACAUCAGUGGCGAAGGCGACACCCUGGACUCAUACUGACACUGAGGUGCGAAAGCGUGGGGAGCAAACAGG